rnacentral:rRNA from 1 species
AGGUCAAGCCUGCCCAGUGACAUUGUUCAACGGCCGCGGUAUCCUAACCGUGCGAAGGUAGCGUAAUCACUUGUCCUUUAAAUAAGGACUAGUAUGAACGGCUUCACGAAGGCUAUACUGUCUCCUUAAUCUAAUCAAUUAAACUAAUCUCCCCGUGAAGAAGCGGGGAUUCAUCUAUAAGACGAGAAGACCCUAUGGAGCUUUAAACAUCUAAGACACUUGAUUUUUACCUACUAAACUUCAUGCAACCUAUCCUUUUGUCUUAAGUUUUAGGUUGGGGUGACCACGGAGAAAAAUUAAACCUCCACGUAGAAAGAAAAUUCUUUUCUAAGCAAAAAGCCACAUCUUAACGCAUCAAUAUAUUGACUUAACUUGACCCAAUUUCUUGCUCAACGAAC